rnacentral:lncRNA from 1 species
GCAGGAGGGAGGAGCCAUGCCCUACGGAAUCAAGACACAUCAUUACCUUUCCAGCAACAAUGUGUGACAAUAUGCACGGAGUAUUGCCAACCCGGGAAACUCAAUCAAGCCUCAGUGUUCAGAGUUUUUAUUAGGGCUUCAUUACAUAAACUUCACUGAUUGCCCACAUGGCUGAUCUCUGUCUCCAGACUCCCCAGGUAUCACCCAAAGCCUUCACCCUAAACCACCCUGUCCCCAGGCAAACAAAGACACUCCUCUUUGGCAUGAUAUUCCAAGAAGCUUAGGGCAAAGACCAGACAUCUUUUUGGGCAAGAUUAAAUUCUUUACUGCACAGGCUGCGUCCUCCCUGGGCAGCCUCUCUGAGCCACUCGUCUGGGUGCUGGACAGGGUGGUAGCCUCUGGUCUUGUCAGAUCAUCUCUCCCCAGUGUGGAACAGCCUUCCAAGUGAGCUGGGGCAAGGGUAAUGGGGACCCCAGUAUUUGUGGCCUGCUGUACUUGAGGUAGAGCCUGCAUCUAAUGGGUAGGGGCUUGGUAGAGAGGGCCCUAGCCCCUCAGCUGCACUCACCAGGAAUUGAGCAUCUCUGGCUGGGCAUGGUGGUUCACACCUGUAAUCACAGCACUUUGGGAGGCCAAGGCAGGAGGAUCACUUGAGGCCAGCCUAGGCAACAUAGAAAGAUCCCAUCUCUACUAAAAUACAACAAUUAGCCAGGUGUAAUGGUGUGUCCCUGUGGUCUCAGCUACUUAGGAGGCUGAGGAGGGCAGAUCACUUGAGCCUGGGAGGCAGUGGUUGCAGUGAGCUGAGAUAAUGCCACUGUACUCCUGCCUGGGCAACAGAGCCAGACCCUGUCUUCAAAAAAAAAGAUUUUUAAAAAUAAAGAUACAAGCAUGUGUAUGUUCACUGCAGCACUAUUCACAACAGCAAAAACAUGGAAUCAACCCAAAUGCCCAUCUAUGAUAGACUGGAUAAAGAAAACAUGGUACAUACACACCACGGAAUACUAUGCAGCCAUCAAAAGGAACGAGAUCAUGUCCAUUGCAGGGACAUGGAUGGAGCUAGAAGCCAUUAUCCUCAGCAAACUAACACAGGAACAGAAAACCAAACACUGCAUGUUUUCACUUAUAAGUGGGAGCUGAACAAUGAGAAUACAUGGACACAGGGAGGGGAACAACACACACUGGGGCCUGUUAGGGGGGUGCGGGAGAGGGAGCAUCAGGAUAAAUAGCUAAUGCAUGUGGGGCUUAAUACCUAGGUGAUAGGUUGAUAGGUGCAGCAAACCACCAGGGCACACAUUUACCUAUGUAACAAACCUGCACAUCCUGCACAUGUAUCCCAGAACUUAAAAUUACAAAUUAAAUUUUUAAAAAAUAGCAUCUUCAACUUAGAUGGGAUGAGAAUUCAGGUGGUCUUCUCCCAGUUGGAUCCAAUUCCCCAGGAACCGAGAAGAGAAUGACCCCUUUUUGGCUAUGCCCACCUGAGG